rnacentral:lncRNA from 1 species
ACAUGGCUAUGAUUGGUUAUAUGAGUUUGUGAAAUUACAAACCUAAUUUCUGGGUGGUGUCAAAGAUGGGAUUACCUGAAACGGAUUCCCACGUUGCUUUGUGAUUUGGUGAUUAUGGUUCUUGACUUCUCUAAGAGAGGAAUAAAAGUGCCACACUCACUAAUGACCAAAUUGGUCAGUUCCACUCAUAUGCCCCCUAUAGCCUCUUUACCAUCUAGCCUUUCCAGAGUUAACCUAUUGUAAAAUUAGAUUGUAAAAAUGGACAGAGUGGCCACCACUCUGGGAUAAGGGUGAAGGACUCAUGGUGUCAUCCCCACUAAAUACUCCAGUGGAAAUUAUCACUUAAUUAUUUGUGAUAUCACCCAGCUCCCCAAAGAGCUGGCCUUCCUUUUCAGCCCCAGUUAUCUUUUGGAAGUGUAACUCUUUCAGUUUGAUUGUCCUGGGAACACAUGCAGUUUUCUCUUGAUGGGGAAACCCCUCUCUGAAGGUCUGCGUUUUAAGUGGCAGAGAUGCAAAAACAGCCUUCUAGACAGAGUUUCUAAUUGAAUUCUCCUCUAUACCGUUAUCCAUAAACUGAGUAAUGCAUCCAAGGAAGAAGAGAGGAUGAGAGAGGUCAGGAAGUUUAGAUUCCAGUAAAAUUUAAAUAGCCACUGAAUUUGCCAUAGCAAAACAUGAGCUAUGAUUCUGUUAGUACACAGGAAAAGUCAAUUAGGUGAACUGAUUUUUUAUGGUGUUGGGAAUAUUAUAAUUCAGGGAUUCUUAACCUAUAGCUUAACCUAUAGGCAAUUUAAGACUAGAUUUCAGGGGUAGGGCAGUGAAACUUCUAAAAUUGCUGUAACAUUUUUUAUUAAGUCAUAGGCAGUUUCCUAGGGAGAGGCUUUUAUCAAAUUCUCAGAAGGGUCCACUGCCAUAAAAGAUUAAGGAACCACUGCAUUCUAUCAUCAUAAUUUUUUGUCUUCUUUCAAAAGUUGAUAUUCUGGUUUUUUUUAUGCAGAAAAGACAAAAGCAUGUACAACUCUGAUAUUUCAUGAUCUUUAAUUUCUUCCCCCUCCUGGAUGUCCUAUAAUAAAUGUACAGGAAAGAAAUAUAAAACGCUAUCCAAACUCAGUUAAUAGCUCUGAGAAAUGCACACUCAGAGUGCUUUAAAAUCAGGUUACAAAUAUCAUUUUCAAUUUGCUGGGGAGAAAAUAGGAAGAGUCCCUUGGAAUACAGAAUAAAUUCAUUCUAUGUACAUUAUCAGUGUUGGUUCAUUAUAUUCUCAUUGGCCCACAACUCAACACAUCUUUAAGAAGCAAAAGUGCAUACACUCUCCCUUACUGACAAUAUUUAGGGGAAGACCACAUACUUUGUGAACUACUGUGAGUUGAGUUCUUGUAGUCAAAGCAGUAGUAGGUGGAGCUUCAUUCUCUGGUAUUAAAAUCCUAAAAGUGAGUAGUGUUAUUAAUUGGGGGCACUUUUGAGAUUUGAUUAAGAAAUUUACUGCUCUUGUGGGUUGUUUCCUCCCUUGUGGGAUGUUCUGGAUGAAUGUCAAGGUCUAGCCCCGGCAGAUUCCAGAAAGCUUGUCCAUCUAAAUUUGCUGUUAAGCCAUGGGAACUUUUCUAUUGCAGUCUUUGGGUCAUGGUAACGUGUAAAGCCUAGAGUUUGUUGAAGGGCACUUUUCUCUCUCUAAAAUUCUCCAUUCCUCACAACUGGUUUUUAUUAUUCCGUGACAUGCUGGGAGUGUUGCUAUGACUGUUUGAGAAGUAUGGGCAGAUAUAUUGCUGGCUGGCUUCUUACAGGAAGAGUUUCCCAUGAUGGGAGUGAGAGACCCCUGGGGCCACCUGGAAACUGCCCACUCUUGUAAGAUGUUGCUCAGCGUUCUUGGGACCCAGGAAUUCACUGCUCCAAAGGCCCUGAGUUCACUUUCAAGGCUUGGUUCUGCAGGGUGUACUCAUGUGUGCACCCUGAGUCUUGAGGAGUAGACAAAGGGCUUUUGUGGAGGAUGAGGAGGGAGAUUGGAUGUGAGCACUGCUGUGUUCAUACGUGUGCUGUGUUCUGAUCCUUGAGAUUUGGAUCAGAGCCAGAGGUGGAAAGAGAAGAGGAUGGGGUGUAGUUGGGGCUGGCCUCCCUAUGCCACUGACUACUUGAGAGGAACAUUGAAGAACUGAAAAUUCUACAAUCGAAGUUGGCUUUCCAGGUUGUUAUAAAGAAGUAUUUGUCAAGACAGGAGGUAUAACAUAUUUCAUUUAAAAGUUUGCUAGCUUGUUUUAUAGCUUUUAAAUAUUUAGACACGUGGAGUAGCACAGAGUGCACUGUGAUAUGAAGAAAGAAGGAACUGAGAUUUUUAUCAUGCAGUGAUCCUGUGCCAGGCAGGGUGCUGGGUUCUUUCUUAAAUCAUCCAGUUAAUCCUUACAAUGACCCUGUAAGAAGGUCGGAGAGGGUAAGGCAUAUAUCCAAGCUCACAGAGCUUAACAAAUGGCAGAUCCUGGAGUCAUUCUGCUCUCCACAGGAUGCCCUGUUCGGGGCUUUUUCCUCAACACCACACUGAGGGGUGUCAAGAGCCUCUCUUGCACUGGAAGAUUAUUUAGCUUUUUAGACUCAGGACUCAGAAGAGCCUUGGAGAUUAUAUAGUCACCGAAUCCUGACACCUGUGCAUUUGCUGCUGAAUUCACAGCAGUUCUAAGCCAAGCAUAUGAGCGUCCCCCUAGCAUUGAUCUGCUACUGUGCCUAAAAGUUUCCCCUGCAGUGACUAUUCCACAUGAAACCAUUGUGCCUUGUUAAAUAAAAUAUGACUGUAUCAUGAAGACACCACCAAUACUUAGGUUCAGGUGAUUUUAUGCCACUAGUAAGAAUCCAAGGACAAUGUGUUAUUGGGGAGAAGUAGAAAAAGGAAAAUCUGGGGUAGCACCUGGCAUGCUCUUUCUCCAAUUUUCUACUACUUACUCCUAUUCCCCAAAUUCUCCCAUCAAGGAGGAAAUGAACUCUGAGACAGAAGAUGAGUUUUCCUCAAAGCUUGACCAGGAUAUAAGUGGAUGCCUUAUUGGGCAAAGCAGAGGGUAACCAAUUAGAAGGCCCUGGCUUCUCUUGAUUGAUAGCUGAGAACUCGUCAGAGGGAUCAGUGCUUUCUCUGUGUAUUGCUGGAGUCUGAAAGUGUGACUCUCAUGUCACUGAUUCAUUUCUGAAGUGUUAAAUUCAGAAUAAAUUUUUGAUAAUCAAAAUGAACUUAGAGAACUUUGUUGUUUGGCAUUGUCAAGAGUGAAGAAUUCUUGCCUAAUGCAAAAAGUCAUCCAUGAAUUUUCUGCCAUAUUAGUUUGAGCAAAACUGUGUUUUUUGCCCUACUGGAUCUCUUAAUGUAAUGACAUGUUUGGGAUUUUGAGGUUGAAAUGAAUUUCUGAUAAAAUAACCAUUCCAAUGAUAAAAUGUAAAAUGGUAAUGCAAGAUCAGUCACUCUCGUUAUGAGACUUCUGGCUCAUAUGAUUAUAAGUGUUAAAGCCAGGCAAAAUCUUAGGCGUAGAGUUCCAAGAAAUAUUAUACUUUACUCAAAAGGCGUG